UACGUAGGGUGCAAGCGUUGUCCGGAUUUACUGGGCGUAAAGAGCGCGCAGGCGGUCGAUCAAGUCGAGUGUGAAAGCCCCCGGCUCAACUGGGGAGGGUCAUUCGAUACUGAUCGACUCGAAGGCAGGAGAGGGUAGUGGAAUUCCCGGCGUAGUGGUGAAAUGCGUAGAUAUCGGGAGGAACACCAGUGGCGAAGGCGACUACCUGGCCUGUUCUUGACGCUGAGGCGCGAAAGCUAGGGGAGCAAACGGG
rnacentral:rRNA from 1 species